UACAGAGGGUGCAAGCGUUAAUCGGAAUUAUUGGGCGUAAAGGGCUUGUAGGCGGUUACAUAAGUUAGGUGUGAAAACCCUGGGCUCAACCUGGGACGUGCACUUAAUACUGUGUAGCUAGAGUAUAGGAGAGGAGAAGGGAAUUUCUGGUGUAGCGGUGAAAUGCGUAGAUAUCAGAAGGAACAUCAGUGGCGAAGGCGCUUCUCUGGCCUAAUACUGACGCUGAGGAGCGAAGGCGUGGGGAUCAAACAGG
rnacentral:rRNA from 1 species